rnacentral:sRNA from 12 species
UAAUAUUAUACAUUUAGGUAUGGCUAUAAGUGAUCAAAUUGAUUAAGCGUAUUGUAAAUACGUCGCCUGGCUGGGGUAAACCUUCUAAUUAUAGAAGGUUUACUUUUUUAUGU